CAGUGCCUUAACACACUUAUUGUAAAAAUCUUCUUCCUUAUAUCCAAUCUAAAUCUCCCUUCUUCUAGACUGAAACCAUUUCCCACUGUCCUAUCACAACAAACCCUGCUAAAAAGAGUGUUCCCUUCCUUCUUACAGCCCCCCUUUAGAUACUGAAAGGGCGCUCUCAGGUCUUCCUGGAGUCUUCCCUUCUCCAGGCUGAACAGCCCCAGCUCUCUCAGCCUGUCCUCACAGGAGAGGUGUUCCAUCCCUUGCAUCAUUUUUGUGGCUCUCCUCUGGACACACUCCAACAGGUCUGUGUCUCUCCUGUACAGAGGGCUCCACAUCUGUAUACAGUACUCCAGUUGAGAUCUCACCAGUGCAGAGCAGAGGGGCAGGAGCACCUCCCUCGACCUGCUGGCCUCGCUUCUUUUGAUGCAGUCCAGGAUACAGCUGGUUUUCUGGGCUGCCAGGGCACAUUGCUGGCUCAUGUCCAUCUUGCCCUCCAGUAGUAUCCCCAAGUUCCCAGGUGUAUGGCCGUCCUGCACCAAAAGACCCUUGAUUUACCAAAACCCUAGCACCACUUUUGGACAAGUAAAGCCUUAAAAAUUUGAGCUUUAUCCUAAAUUGAAUAGCCUGAAUGAGAAGGAAGCCUAUGAAAUAUAAUCUUCAGAGAAACUAAGCUUGUUUGACCAUCCUUGCUACUAGGUACCAAUCCUACUUAGGAACUCAGGUGUUACAAAUGUGUUUUUUUACUGAACUCAGAAGUGGGAUAUAACAUUAACAUUUGGUGUUUGGUGGGACGUCUUUAAAUUAAAUGAGCUAUAUAUCAGCUGUGAUUCAUACCUCUUUAAUUUUUCCUAGUGGUGAAUUUGGCAAGUCUCUUUAGCUGCCACAGAACCUGGGUGCUGAAAAACUCAUAUCGAGCUGUCGUGUAACUCAUACACGACAGCUCGAGUAGCUCCAGAAUCUCUCCUUGCAAACACAGAAUGCUGGAAAUCACUCGACCAUGGGGGACUCUGUGCCUAGCCAGAAUGCUAUCUACAUCCUGACUCCCAUGGCUCUUCUUCUCCUGUCCUGGCAGGCAACCCGGUGGCAUACUUGUCUUUCUCUCUCCUCACUACCCUCAUUCCAACUAUAUGACAAACGGCCUUUCAGAUACCUGCUCCCUAAAUAACACAUUCAGUGCUAUAUAGUAUAAGUAUAGCAUAUUGUCAAGAGCAUCUUAGAUGCCUAUUUAGGUUAUGGGUCAGAUAUACUGAAUCAAGAGAAAGAGAUACAGCAGUGUUUCAGGCUGAAGGCUUGAUACCAGUUGGCCCUAGCAUGCAUUGAGGCUUGGAAUCCCAAGAGUCAGUCAAAAUAGUCCCUGUAAAACAAACUCCAGAAACGAUGCUAUUCAACAUACAUCAACUAUUUAUAAGGAAGUUUGCUGAUAUUCUUGACAAAGCAAUUUUUUUUUCCCCUGCACAGAAAUUGACAUUGUUAAAUAAUUGAAAAGAAAGCAGCAAAUCACAACGGUGGAUGGUGCUCAGAUGAAAUUUUCAAAAGCAUUUAAGAGUAUUUUCAAAUGGCACUUUACAAUUCCUUACUUUUUUAACAGUACUGUUUAGGCUAUGUGAAAGUUUGUGCCAAUAUAAGCUGUACUGUUUCUUUUACACUGAUCCAGGCAAUUCUGAACUAACUCCAUAAGCAGCUAGUGCCAUGUGUACAUAUUCUCUGCAGCUUUUGUACAUUUCCCCUAAGUCUCUUUUGUCUUGAAAUCUUCCUCAUUUCAGGAUUGUCUAUGUUUAAAAAAAUGUAUUUUCAGACUCCUAACAAUGACAUCUUAAAUAAAAUAACUUCCUGUAAUUCUGAUAGCAGCUACCGUCCUUAUUUCCAUAGCUUUCAUCAUUCAACUCUAAUCCGCUUUCUUUCUUGCUUGUCAUUAUUUGUCUUUGCUUUUAUUCUUUCUGAUCACUAUUGUUAUCCAAUUUCCUUCCUUCUUUCAUCUUUUCCCAACUCCCACUGCAUUUGUGUCCUGUCAUUUUGUAAUUUUGUUUUUACUCCCCAUGUAGCUUUCUAUCAAAUAUACAACUUUGUAACUGACUUUAUCUUCAUCUUUCUACCUUUUUUUCCCUUUUCUUAGUCAUGCUCUGGGGAUCAGACAAAGGCUGACAAUCCUGGCAGUCGAAGACGCUUCUCACACAAAAUCCACAGAGCACAACCACUCAAUCUGCUUCCCCAGUGAAUGGCAGAACAGCCUUUGGCUUCAUCUGUUAUUCAUAUUAGCCUGAAGGUUCUGAGGGACAGCAUGUAUCUCUUACUGUGUAAUAUGUAGUGCUUAGAACACUGGGGGGCUUUGAUCCUAAUUGGGGUAGAAGCUAUUGGAGCAAUAAUAAUAAUCUCAGGGAUCUGGGUCUUGCCUCACCACGAGGCUUUGGCUCACUCAGGUGGUACAAGAAGAGCUCAGAGGAAUACCUCUGCUACAUUAGCUAAUCAAGCAUUUAUUUACUAAUUUACUUAGAUUGCUACCAAAAAAAAAAAAAAAAAAAGAAUGAGAGAGAGAGAAAGAGAUUGAAACCAUCCAUGACUCCAAGAGUCUUUAAUUAGCAGCAAAGAAAUGAUCAGGAGUCAAUGUCUCCACGACUAUUUGAAUAAAAAGGGAAAAAAGAUUUCUUCACAGAAAUAAUUCCAUCUCAAUAAUUAGCCAAAGGUAAGACCCAAUGCAUGACCUCUUGCAAUGUUAGAAGGAAAGGGAAGGAAGAGGAUAGAAGUUACCAAAUAGAUGCUUGAUCAGUUUCUCUCAAAUAAUUUUUGUGCUUGGCUGUAUCUGUCUUGCUCCAUUAAUUUUGUGCUUUAGAUUACUUGGAUACAUCUGACAUGCAGCCAUUUCUGAGAGCAAGGAUUAUACUCAUGCCUGCAAUCUCACAAAACAGAAUAAAUCUUCUGAAUAUAUGAGAAAAUUCCCCUUUCUUCCUUUUCUAUUUUCCAGGAGGAAUGGCCUUCAAAGUUCAGAGGCACGCUCUCGGAUAGUAGUUAAUGUUUACUAUGUCUUAUUUGGGAUUGAAGAAAAUGAAAAAUAGGUCAUUAGCUGUAUGUCAAAAAAAUUCUAUGAUACUGAGUUACUUAACUCCACAUUCUUGCAUAUAGCUGUAUUUGUUUUAGUUGUCAAAUAUGGCCAUACUGAAUGAUUUCUUAUGUGGUUGCAAGAGAAAGUGACCAUGUCUUUCUCUCGAGAAAAACUUGUCCUGACAGAGGUGUCAGGGACAAUCUACUUCACUCAGCUCAGGGUGCCGCUCCUUGUCCCUGAAGCUGUUUGUUCAGCAGACAGACAACUCCAAGAUGUUUCUUGAGAAACUUGAACUCACAGUCUACUAGAUUGGGAACAGACCUAUCUUAGAAUAUUCCCAUUUGGAACAAAAUCCCUCUCACUUUUUCCUGAGUUAUUCUUCAUAAUCACACAAUCAAAAGGUAGGUCAUAUAGGUAAGGUGAGCAAGACCAAGAUUUAGAAAGCAUUACCCAAAUGGAAGGCCAUUGCUGGAUCUUUCAAGUGUUCAAUCCAAACGCACUGGAGCACAGUCUCCUGUAUAUCUGUAAUCACCAGGUACACUUCUUGGUCCUUUUCAGCCUUACUCUUUCUGCAACUCCAUCUCUCUCUAUCUUAAAGGAAAGAGGAGUGAUUGCUUUCAGACAAGUCAGAUUUCAGUAGGUUCACUCUCAGUUUGCUGAAUUGUUACUUCAUGGUCUGUAGAAACUCUAUUUUCCUGCAUAUGAAAACUACCAUGUUUGUCCUCAUCAACACAUUUUUAGGAGUUAUACAAGAAUGAAAUGCCUUUAGAGAUAACUAUGAAUGCAUAUGGUUGUAUGGGUGUAUAAAUGCAUCACCCAAAUCCAAGUAUUCAUUUAAUGCCAGAGCUGAGCAGAGAAAUCCUCAAAACUUACUGCUUGAUCCUGACCCAACAGUGGUUUUGAAGCAUUUGAAAAGUUUCAAGGUGUCAAGCAAAAGAAUUGAUCGACUGAGGAAGCCAGUCAGUCUCCCUCUGCAGUCAACAAAAAGGGAGAAGAUCUCUCCAAGAGCAGUCAUCCUCAUCCCCAAAACAGCUGCCUGGAAUAGCCUUGCAGGCCUCAAUCAAAAAUGACACAAGACAACAGAUGGAUGCAAGUACACAGGGGAAGCAGAAGACAAAAUAUUUAUUCAUUUAGUAAGCAUCAGCCACGUUGCACCAGCUGCUCAGGCUGAAUUCUAAACUAAAUUACCCAGAAUGCUCCCUCCUUUGAAUUACUGUUCACCUCAGUGCUGAAAUUAGCUUGGAAAGACAUUUAUAUGGACAAUCACAUUCCACAUUAAUGCAAUAUAAGAAGUAUAUUAGACUCGAAUUUCAUCCUACGAUUUUUGUGUGUAUGUGUGACUGGAGUAAAUUUUUUAAUUUCUGCCUAUGGAUUAGGCUGUCACUACAGCAUGUCUAAUAGAAUUACAUCCUCUUAUAGUAAGUAGGGCUCAGUCUGGUAUCUUCUCACAAAGAGCACCUUUUGAACUCUGAUCAUCUCCUGGGCUCUGGACAGCCUAAGGUGUCACGCUCAUUGAAAUGGUCAGACUCAACUCCUAAGACUUUUCCAGGCCAUGGUGGACAUCAGCAGAUGCCAUAGCCUUCAGCAAUUGAGUUUGCCUUACCACAGGGGGUCACUAGAAAUCAGUGAGAAAUACUUCCUUCUUCUCUAGGAACUAUGAAAUGCUCACAGCCACUAUGCCAUUCCCUAUUAUUUUCAAGACUUCAGUGAGGGAAAAGCAGAUGUGAUUAUUUUUCUUUAUAACCAGACAGCUCUUACCACUAAAAUAUGUGAGUGGUUUCCUAAAAUUUCAUAGAAGUUUGCUCUUGAUCAAAGCUAGUUUGAGUUCAAAAGCUCGUGAUCAUUUAUUUUUCUAGCAUAACUUUGUAUUUUUCAUUACAUUUGUUAAAGCAAGUUUCAAAUGUGACAUAGACCCUUGAGUUUUAUUAUCGGAGUAGAAUUUUUGUUUCUUCCAAACUACAUUGUACAUCAUAAUUUUUCUUAAAUAAAAAUUAAUACAAUUAAAUAUGAUAAAAU